rnacentral:rRNA from 1 species
UACGUAGGGGGCAAGCGUUGUCCGGAUUUAUUGGGCGUAAAGAGCGUGUAGGCGGCCAGACAGGUCCGUUGUGAAAACUCGAGGCUCAACCUCGAGAUGUCGAUGGAAACCGUCUGGCUAGAGUCCGGAAGAGGAGUGUGGAAUUCCUGGUGUAGCGGUGAAAUGCGCAGAUAUCAGGAAGAACACCUAUGGCGAAGGCAGCACUCUGGGACGGUACUGACGCUGAGACGCGAAAGCGUGGGUAGCAAACAGG